GCUGUUUCUGUUUUUCUUCCACGGCAGGUCUCUUGAUGUCAGAAAGAUGGGCCACUUCUUGGCCCCAUUUUCGAAGAGUCCGUGACCACAGCUGUGCGCAGUGGCUCUGAUAGACUCCUCAGGAGGCAACAGGCACAUGUCACUAUGAAGAUGUGAGGGACAGACCCUGUGCCAGGAACCUUUGGUUUUUGCUCUUGAGGCCUUCACCUGAUUGGAUGAGACCCACUACAUUAUUGAGAUCAGAAGAGUCAAAGGAGAUCCACUGGUUGACCAGGAUUAAGACAUGGUAUCAGAGAUCAUGCACAGUGGCAUUUAAUGAUCACAUAUCAAGGUAGAGAACAGCCUGGUUGGAAAGGAUACCUACAAAUAUGCAGAAAAAAGGAAGCUGUCAUAGAGUCCAGAUGAGGUCACUGAAUCUCAGACCACAUUGCCAGUAAGCGGGAAAGCAGAGAUUCAAUCUCUCUCUUCCAAGAUGAGGAACGGGGGGAUCUUCAUUACCCAGCAGCUGUCUACUAUGUGCAAAGGCCAGUUCUGGGUGUUGCACAGGAUCUAACGAUGAGUACUGGAUUCUCAUAGAUCCACUUGCAGAGGUAAGGAAAGAGAUCUUGGGAAGGAAAUGGAACGGGUUCAGCAGGGUGUGGGUAGGUGGAGAAGAAAGUUAGGAACAUUCCUGGUUAAGAGGACCUGCCCAUGUGAAGGUAUCUUGCGCAAGAUCACUGUGUCUUAAGCUUAUCUCUUCUCAAGUACAGGGCAUCCUUUGAGAUGUGAUA